CAAAUGUUUAAAGUUUAAGACCUGAGAUCUCGGCGACAUUUGUUGUCAUUGAAGUAAUCAUUGGUCAAGCACAGAAUGUAAAGGGAUGAUGCAUUGAUUAUCAUGUCUAACUGAUAAAUUUAACCUUUCCCUCUAAUGAAUCUCAAUUUGGGUUGUCAAACAAUUCAAACCAUUCUCAAUCUCAAGCGCCAUCUUCUUAAAAAUCCUCGAACCCAAUAAAAAAAAUUAUUGUAACCUCAUUGCAGCAAUUUACACAUGAAACCAAGAUUAAAAUAUUUUUCCCAAGACAUUCAAAAAAAAAAAAAAAGAAAAAAAAGAAAAGCCGUCAGACAUGAAUUCAAAUACAAUCCCCAAAUGCUCAAUUCAUAUUCCUCCCGACCCACCUUUUUUCAUAUUCACAAUGUGAAACACGCAAUUUAACACAAACAACAUUCCCAGUAAUUACAUAACAUAAACUCUCCUCUAUCCGAAACCAACAUAUUAUUUGUCCUAAAAAUUGAAAGAAAUAGAAUUGCAAACUAAAAGGCAAACUUCAAAUGACAAUAUUGAUAUAAAAAAGAUUUACAUUUCUUUCUGGAUGGAUGCAAUGAGCUGUGGAACCAUUUAGCUGAUGAGAUCUAAGCUUGGCAAUGAUAGGCAACCACGAGCAUCUUAGUCCUCUUGUUCAUAUAGAAGGUGAAGAAUGUGAGGUCAUGUCCAUGUUCAGUUCAAGAGUUGCUUUUCUUUUCCUUGUUUUCAAUUUUGAUUUGUUGAAAUGUUGAAUGUCUUGCUUGCACACCCAACAUGCUCCAGAUCUCCGUACACGGAUAUUAUCAUAAUGAUUACUGGGAAAUAGCAAUUGGAAGCGAUUGUAUUGGCAUAACAGCUUACGAAAAUAGUAGCUGUUCACGCACACAAUGCACAAAUUAUUAUCUAACUAUAGCGCGCGUUAAAUAAUUCUUUACCGUUGCAGAUCACCCAAGGCUGUACGUCAUCAUUUACCGAAGGAUUUUCAAUUAGGAAAGAGAGUGCAAGUGCAAUUGUUUCAGUGCAAAACCUUAAAUGUACAAGGAAUAUCGCAGAAAAUGGGAACUUUCACGCCAUCUAAAAUGGGAAGCUUUAGCUUGCACAUAUUUGAGAAAGCUAAACCUCUUAUAUCCAAAUCUGUCCACUUCAUGUAACGUAAAACGAUGCCAUGAGUUGCUUCAAAUUCCUACAUAGAAUAUUUAUUCAUUAUGGAUUCUUAUCUUAAUUCUAUACAUCAUAGUAUCAUACAAUUGUAAAAAAAUGGCACAUAUCUUGUUUUGUGUAAGGACACGAUCAACAUCUUCAUAAGACCACAAUCUACUACGCUUGCUCAAAUCAUUGGGAGAUUCUUGCUUUACAAUAUGUUUGCCCAUAUCUUCAAGAAGGUCAUGCAUCCUGAGUAUAUCGCCACACUCAUCGUCAUUUGUUCUAGUGAGCAAAGAUUUAUCUAUUAAAGUAGCAAUGCCAAUUUCAGCAUGAUAACCACACCUGUUUAAUAUAUUUGACACAUUCUCUAAAUAUUCUCAUUUGAAAAAGCAAGCAAUAUCUAAAAAAUAUAUUCUUUUCCAAAUGAUCUAAACCAUCAUAACUUAUUUUUAAUGUAUUAAAAAUUUUGUUAUGUGGACAGCUCUUUAUUUUUGCAAUAGCACGGCGCCAAACAUGAAUGGUUCGACCACAAAGGUGAGAACCCAAUACUACAAGUGCCAAUGGAAGACCAUCACAACACUUAACCACUUCUUUGGACAAAUCCAUAUACCCUUCUUCAGGUUUUGGCCCUUUAAAAGCAUUCAAAUAAAAGAGUUCAAGUGCUUCAUUUUGCUCCAACCCUUCAACCUUACAAAUUCUAUUCACGGCUCCAUGCACUUCUAGUACAUGUGUAUCUCUGUGAUUAUUAUUCUGCUUCCAGGACCAAACCAGUCUUGUUCACCAGCCAAAUUUUCCAAUUGGCCUUCAUCGUCUACAUCAUCGAGAACUAGAAGGACUUUCUUACGGCAUAAAGAGUCACAAAUAAUCCCUUUUCCCUCAAACUCGUCAUUGAAAGUACCUGAAUUUAUGUUCAUGCUAGCAAUAAGUUGCUUCUGUAUUUGAACAAUACCUCUUUUUCUCACGUGUCUCUCUUACAUUGACAAGAAAACAACUAGCUUUAAAUUCACUUUGAAUGCUUUCAUAGACUCUUCUAGCAAUAGUUGUCUUACCUAUGCCACCCAUUCCACAUAUGCCAAUGAAACGAACAUCAUCCACCCCAAUACCGAUGUGUCUUACAACUUCUUCCAACCUUGAAUCAAUCCCUACCAGAUUCUCCAUUGAAGAUGGUAAUUUCAUAAUCAAUCUUUCAUGUAUAUGUUGAGUAAUGCUUUCCACGAGUAUGGCCUCGUUCCUAUACAAGAAAGCAAUUUCUGUGUAAAGUUUGGCAAUAAAUAGAACCAAAAUAAAGUAACAAUAACCUUAAGAAAUUCCAUUAGAACUUAGAAGGGGAAUACAAAAUCCUAAGGAGGAUAAUGUAAGUGUUCCAAAAUUUCUAUUCUUUGUCUUUCUGAAUUUUUUUUGUAUUUUCUAAUGCACAUUUAUUUAACUAUCUAUCUAUUCAAUUUAUAAUACACAAAUUUGAUACCAAAGUUGUGGAAAGUUAAAUUCUUGAAUCUUGAUAACUAAUGUGAUCUCCAAAUUUGCCAUAAUGUUAAUAUCAAGUUAUUAAACUAUUCAAAUAUUCUUUCCAGCCCAAUCUCAUUCUUCCACGUCACAAUUACAUUACAUAGCCUCAUAGAUGUAAGCGGGUAACAUCACACCUUAAAUGUAAAUGAAUUCGUUACGUGAUUGGUUAAUGAUUAAUUGUAAGCUACAGAAGUUGAUUAUAACUUCUUAAGUUGAUAAAAGUAUAAAACAAGCUACUGCUUUAAUUUGAAUAUGACUGUAUGUGUAAUGUUUGAGAUUUCAAUAAAUAAUAUUGUUUACAUCUGAAAGUUAUUUUACUGAAAAGUGAGAACUGAUCCAAAUUAUAAAACAAACACACCCCAUAAGAUUUAGAUUUUGCUCGCGCCAUAGAACAAAAAGGACAUUCGAUAUUUAUAUUUAUGGCACAUAAAUUAGGACAGCAAAAUAAAUGAGUUUAAUGGUGAG